rnacentral:rRNA from 1 species
UACGUAGGCAGCGAGCGUUGUUCGGAGUUACUGGGCGUAAAGGGUGUGUAGGCGGUUGUUUAAGUUUGGUGUGAAAUCUCCCGGCUCAACUGGGAGGGUGCGCCGAAUACUGAAUGACUUGGAGUACGGGAGAGGAGAGUGGAAUUCCUGGUGUAGCGGUGAAAUGCGUAGAUAUCAGGAGGAACACCGGUGGUGUAGACGGCUCUCUGGACCGUAACUGACGCUGAGACACGAAAGCGCGGGUAGCAAACAGG